GAGCUUGAAAAUUUGUGAUAAACUUGAAGAACAAGGCGGUGCUAGCGCGAAAAAUAUAGGGGAAAUGAGAGCACGGGUCUAUUUGAAUUUGGGCCUCGUGGAGGAAGCAUUGGCCAACCUUGAGAAAGCAGUCCAGUGCCUGGGAAAGGCCGUAAUUAUUUGCAAAUCUUUAGAUUUGUGGGAAGAGUUAUGUCUGAGCUACACGAAUCUCGGAUUGGCGCAUAAGCAUAGUGGGAUUUUGCCAGCGCUUUGAAAGCCUUCGAUUUGGGUCUUUCAGUCGCUUGUCGUCUAUCUGACAAAGAAAAAUACUUGAGUGAUAUUUACGUACAAAAAGCACAGGUUCUAAUCGAACUUCCAGAUUUCCGGCGAGCCAAACAUUCUUUACAUAAAGCAUACAAAUUGAAGUCGGCUCAGUCUGUUAGUCAAGCUGAUAUUGCGAGAAAGUUGAGAAUUGUGGCUGCAAUCUGUGAAUUUGAAGAAAAACUAAUUCUUCUGCCUGAAAAUGACAUUUCUGAAAGGAGGAAAAUGUAUGAGAUGAUGGGAGAUGGAUGUGCAGCUUUAGAGAGUUACAAAAAGGCCUUAGAAUAUUAUCAUUUAACGCUGGAGG